UACGAAGGGGGCUAGCGUUGCUCGGAAUCACUGGGCGUAAAGGGUGCGUAGGCGGGUCUUUAAGUCAGGGGUGAAAUCCUGGAGCUCAACUCCAGAACUGCCUUUGAUACUGAAGAUCUUGAGUUCGGGAGAGGUGAGUGGAACUGCGAGUGUAGAGGUGAAAUUCGUAGAUAUUCGCAAGAACACCAGUGGCGAAGGCGGCUCACUGGCCCGAUACUGACGCUGGAGGCACGAAAGCGUGGGGAGCG
rnacentral:rRNA from 1 species